GGUCCCGUGGUGUAAUGGUGAUCACUCAGGCCUCUAAAUCCUGCAAUCUGAGUUCAAAUCUCAGUGGGACCU
rnacentral:tRNA from 1 species